rnacentral:rRNA from 1 species
CACGCCCUAAACGAUGUCAACUAGGUGUUGGGAGGGUAAAACCUUUUAGUACCGUAGCUAACGCGAGAAGUUGACCGCCUGGGGAGUACGGCCGCAAGGUUAAAACUCAAAGGAAUUGACGGGGACCCGCACAAGCGGUGGAUGAUGUGGUUUAAUUCGAUGCAACGCGAAAAACCUUACCCACCUUUGACAUGGUCGGAACCCUUUAGAGAUAGAGGGGUGCUCGAAAGAGAGCCGAUACACAGGUGC